rnacentral:rRNA from 1 species
CAAUAGCGUAUAUUUAAGUUGUUGCAGUUAAAAAGCUCGUAGUCGGAUUUUGGUUGAGAACGAUCGGUCCGCCGUUAGGUGUGCACUGAUUGGUCUCAGCUUCCUGGUGAGGAGGUGUGCUUCACGGCCACUUAGUCACCGUGGUUACUUUGAAAAAAUUAGAGUGUUCAAAGCGGGCUUACGCUUGAAUAUAUUAGCAUGGAAUAACACCAUAGGACUCCUGUCCUAUUUCGUUGGUCACGGGACGGGAGUAAUGAUUAAGAGGAACAGUUGGGGGCAUUCGUAUUUCAUUGUCAGAGGUGAAAUUCUUGGAUUUAUGAAAGACGAACUUCUGCGAAAGCAUUUGCCAAGGAUGUUUUCAUUGA